CAGUCGAACGAAGUUUUUCUUUCGGGAGGAACUUAGUGGCGGACGGGUGAGUAUCGCGUGGGUAACCUGCCCUGUACAGGGGGACAACAGCUGGAAACGGCUGCUAAUACCGCAUAAGCCCUUAGCACUGCAUGGUGCAUAGGGAAAAGGAGUAAUCCGGUACAGGAUGGACCCGCGUCUGAUUAGCCAGUUGGCAGGGUAACGGCCUACCAAAGCGACGAUCAGUAGCCGAUCUGAGAGGAUGUACGGCCACAUUGGGACUGAGACACGGCCCAGACUCCUACGGGAGGCAGCAGUGGGGAAUAUUGCACAAUGGAGGAAACUCUGAUGCAGCGACGCCGCGUGAGUGAAGAAGUAUUUCGGUAUGUAAAGCUCUAUCAGCAGGGAAGAAAAUGAUGGUACCUGACUAAGAAGCACCGGCUAAAUACGUGCCAGCAGCCGCGGUAAUACGUAUGGUGCAAGCGUUAUCCGGAUUUACUGGGUGUAAAGGGAGCGUAGGUGGCAAGGCAAGCCAGAAGUGAAAACCCGGGGCUCAACCGCGGGAUUGCUUUUGGAACUGUCAUGCUAGAGUGCAGGAGGGGUGAGCGGAAUUCCUAGUGUAGCGGUGAAAUGCGUAGAUAUUAGGAGGAACACCGGAGGCGAAGGCGGCUCACUGGACUGUAACUGACACUGA
rnacentral:rRNA from 1 species